ACAACUCCUAACAGCUAGCCAACACAAAAAACAACAACCAACAUUAAUAACCCCAUAAGCACAAGCAACAAACAACAAAUCAUUUUUCCUCCUAAGUAUGGGCGACAGAAAAG
rnacentral:rRNA from 1 species